UACAGAGGGGGCAAGCGUUGUCCGGACUUACUGGGCGUAAAGAGCGCGCAGGCGGUCGUUUAAGUCGAAUGUGAAAGCCCCCGGCUCAACUGGGGAGGGUCAUUCGAUACUGAUCGACUUGAAGGCAGGAGAGGGAAGUGGAAUUCCGGGUGUAGUGGUGAAAUGCGUAGAUAUCCGGAGGAACACCAGUGGCGAAGGCGACUUCCUGGCCUGUUCUUGACGCUGAGGCGCGAAAGCUGGGGGAGCAAACGGGG
rnacentral:rRNA from 1 species